rnacentral:misc_RNA from 1 species
GGAAGGAUCAUUAACACGUGUUCCACGUACUACCUCCGUGAAUUGUUUUCAGUCUCCCUUCACAUAACGAGAAAUGAAUUGAGCCAGCUUCAGGAUUGAGUGGGCCUUGCAACGUGCUUGUGCUGCCUGAGUCCGCCACUGAGCCAUUCCUUCGGGAAUGGUUCGACGAUUGUAUUCUUGUUGAAGGCAUUUUUUUGGCUUUAUCCCUGUUGCAUCCAUCUCAACAUUGGGGGUAGGGUCGCUUAUUAAUUAACUUCAUUCACCACUUUUUUGCUAGUUGACUUUUUUCAUGUGUCGUUUGGCGCUUGUCGCUCGACUUCACGCGUUUAAUUUAUUUGAACGAAAUCGUACAACUCUUAGCAAAUGGAUAUCUCGGUUCUCGCAACGAUGAAGAACGCAGCGAAAUGCGAUACGUAAUGCGAAUUGCAGAAUUCAGUGAAUCAUCAAAUCUUUGAACGCAAAUUGCGCUCUUGGGUAGCCCUAGGAGCACGCCUCUCUCAGUAUCGGUUCAACCCCUCUCAGCAGCGUAUGCAAUUGCCUCGCAAUUGUGUGUGUGUUGGCUGGAUGAUGAGAGUCUGAGUCACAUCAGUCUCUUUAAAUACAUUGAGUGCAUAUCAUUCGAAUCGACAGCAGCUUUGCUUCUAUUUUUAUUAAUAGAGCGAAUAGUCUCACCGUGCGGUUAUGCAAUAGUGACGUGAAUACUGGCCCUUCGUGGUCUUCCCUUUACGUGUGUCUAUUGAUUUAACAUCACGCGCAGUUGAGGUGAACGUUGAAGAGCAAUAUGAUGUGACGUAGGAACACCAUAUGAUUAAUUUUUAAUUAGUCUGAAUUUUGAUCUGAGAUGAAGCGAGACAACCCCGCUGAAUUUAAGCAUAUUAAUAAGGGGAGGAAAAGAAACUAACAAGGAUUCCCUUAGUAACGGCGAGUGAAGCGGGAAGAGCUCAAUUUGAAAAUCGAUUCCCCAAACGGGUCAUCGAGUUGUAGCCUAGAGACGUACUAUCAGCUGAAACCUGGGUAUAAGUUCUUUGGAAUGAGGCAUCAUAGAGGGUGAGAAUCCCGUUUAUGACCCAAAGCUUUCAGCGUACGAUGUAUGUUCAUCGAGUCGAGUUGUUUGGGAUUGCAGCUCUAAAUGGGUGGUAAGUUUCAUCUAAAGCUAAAUAUAGGCGAGAGACCGAUAGCGAACAAGUACCGUGAGGGAAAGAUGAAAAGAACUUUGAAAAGAGAGUUAAAAGUACCUGAAAUUGCUAAGAGGGAAGCGCUGAAAACCAGUGAUAUAUUUACGUCAAUCGCUUUUGGCCCCACUAGGUCGUAUGUGUAGUUGGAAACUCUGCAUGUGCGGCCGAAAGGGUGGUUGUGAGUUUAUGAUGUAGUGUGAGUCAAGAUCAAUUCGAACGGUGGGAGAAGGUGGCGAGAAAGGUAGGAGAGCAAUCUCUGUUAAGUCUCGUUACUCUACCUCGGUUUGGAUUGAGGAAGUAAUGGUGCGCCGCUUGCGGCUUGGUCCGGCGUCUCUGUGGUCCUAUACGCUCUGAUAGCAAUGCUAUCUCUGUGUAAACCGGCUAUACUGGGCGUCGUGAUUCUAUGUGCUAUCACGAUCUUGUACGAAAUGGUUUUCAUCGACCCGUCUUGAAACACGGACAAGGAGUCUAACAUCUAUGCAAGUAUUUGGGUGAAAAACCCUGAUGCGAAAUGAAAGUAAAGGUAGCUUGUCUGCUGAGGUAGGAAUCCCGCAAGGGAGGCACUAUCGACCGAUCAUCACUUGUGAAAGAUUUGAGUAAGAGCAUAUCUGUUGGGACCCGAAAGAUGGUGAUCUAUGCCUGAACAGGGUGAAGCCAGGAGAAAUUCUGGUGGAGGCUCGUAGCGAUACUGACGUGCAAAUCGUUCGUCUGAUUUGGGUAUAGGGGCGAAAGACUAAUCGAACCAUCUAGUAGCUGGUUCCCUC